rnacentral:ncRNA from 2 species
UUCUUAUCCAGAGAGGUGGAGGGACUGGCCCUUUGAAGCCUCGGCAACAGACCGUCAAGGUACUGUGCCAAUUCCAGCAGGCUGUUUGUAAGCUUGAAAGAUAAGAA